rnacentral:rRNA from 1 species
AUUGAACGCUAGCGGGAUGCCUUACACAUGCAAGUCGAACGGCAGCACGGACUUCGGUCUGGUGGCGAGUGGCGAACGGGUGAGUAAUGUAUCGGAACGUGCCUAGUAGCGGGGGAUAACUACGCGAAAGCGUAGCUAAUACCGCAUACGCCCUACGGGGGAAAGCAGGGGAUCGCAAGACCUUGCACUAUUAGAGCGGCCGAUAUCGGAUUAGCUAGUUGGUGGGGUAACGGCUCACCAAGGCGACGAUCCGUAGCUGGUUUGAGAGGACGACCAGCCACACUGGAACUGAGACACGGCCCAGACUCCUACGGGAGGCAGCAGUGGGGAAUUUUGGACAAUGGGGGAAACCCUGAUCCAGCCAUCCCGCGUGUGCGAUGAAGGCCUUCGGGUUGUAAAGCACUUUUGGCAGGAAAGAAACGUCAUGGGUUAAUACCCCGUGAAACUGACGGUACCUGCAGAAUAAGCACCGGCUAACUACGUGCCAGCAGCCGCGGUAAUACGUAGGGUGCAAGCGUUAAUCGGAAUUACUGGGCGUAAAGCGUGCGCAGGCGGUUCGGAAAGAAAGAUGUGAAAUCCCAGAGCUUAACUUUGGAACUGCAUUUUUAACUACCGAGCUAGAGUGUGUCAGAGGGAGGUGGAAUUCCGCGUGUAGCAGUGAAAUGCGUAGAUAUGCGGAGGAACACCGAUGGCGAAGGCAGCCUCCUGGGAUAACACUGACGCUCAUGCACGAAAGCGUGGGGAGCAAACAGG